GCUCUGCUUGGAAACUAAAAUGUAUUUGUUAAAACUUAAAAUGUUAUGUAUUUUCCGUUGGAGUUGGAAACAAACUUUGUUUUAAUAGUUAAUAUUCAUAAAAAAUACAUCAAGUAUUAGAUAUUUUUCAAAUAAUUGACUAAAUAUAAUUAUAAUUAUAAUUGAAUAUAUUUUUUGGUAAAUAUAAAAUAAAAUGCAUGCUAUUAACGUGGGAGAUAACAGUUCAAAAACACACGCGCUUUUAAUUCCAAAAAAUGAAUGGAUACGACUAAAUAAGAUUUUGACUAAAAAGGACGAUGAUAGAGCUAUGGUUGAGAUGAUGAAGCGAUUGAGAGACGAACGGCAAGCUACAUCCAAAGCCAUAACCGAAUCAUGGGAAACCACUGUAUUAAACAAACGAAAGAAAGAAUUAGAAAAUAAACAAAAAUUAAUAGCCAUUAAUGAAGCCAGACAACUAAAAAGAGACGAAAUUAUAAAACAAAAGAUUUUGGAGCGCAGAAAUGCUAUUGUAGAAAAGGCCUUGUUGAAAAAAUGGUCGGAUAGAGAUUCAACGAAAGCAAUAACCAGAGCAGUGCACAAGAUGGAGGUACUCAGAGAAAGAAAUUUACAAAUUGUAUUUAAUAAGGCGGAGAGAGCGAAAGAACUGGAAGCAAAUCGUUUAUUAAAGAUAGAACAAAAUUUAGAUGCUGAACGAUAUAAGAAAGAUCGAUGGGAAGAAAAAAUGAAGCAAGCUGAAACUAAAAAAGCUAAUGCUGGUUUCUUCCUAAAAGAAUUAAAAAAACGAGAAGAUAUAAAGCGUGACGAUGAUAUUGAAUUAAAAGAAAAAGGUAAAGCUGAAUUACGAAGAAUUGCAAAUGAAAUUAAGAAAGACAAUGAGAAUAAAAGAGCAAAAGUUUUAGCAACCAGAGAAAAUUUAAUAAAUCACUUAAAUGAAAAUAGAAAAAUCGUGGAUGAAAACAAUAAGCAGCGUCAAUUAAAAGAUGAAGAAGAAAAUGUAAUAGUUUCUAUAAUGGCCGAUGCAAAAAAGAAAAUGGCUAAAACAAGAAAACUGAAAGAAAUAGAAAUUUUAAAAAAAAAACAAACAUUACUAGAGAAGAUGAUUGAAACUUCUAAGAAAAAAGACAAUUAUAAUAACAAUAAAAAUAAUGAGAUUGCACUUCAGAACUAUGAAGAGAAAGAGCAGAAGUAUCAAAGAGAAGAACAAGAAAAAAAUGAUUUAAAGAAAAAAAGAGAAAAAGAUUUUGAAGACAAUAAGAAGAUCUUGGAUGAAGAAAUGAAAAAGGAAAAAGAACGUUUAACACUGAGUCAUCAGUGGGAACUAGAAAGGCGCCUACGUGAGACUGAGAUGUUACAUUCCCUUGAAGAGUCACAGAGACUAGAAAAAAAUAGAAAGAUAAACAGUUUUCGAGAAAAUCUCAACUUACAAUGUGAAAAUAAUAGAGCAGCUACAAGAGCUAACAAACAGGUAGAUCUAGAACAAUAUAAUGCACACAUAAACUUAUGGCAGCAACAGGACGAGGAGUUUAUGACGUACACUAAUAAUCUGAUAGCUAAGUAUCAAAAAGCUGGGAUAUCUGUGAUACCUCUCAUAUUUGCCAUAGAGAAUUAUAAGAAAAACAACAAACUAUUGAUAAAUGCAGCAGUCAACAGGAAGUCCGAAGUAAAUUUCUAACAAAAUAUAUUCAUGCCGUUUUUUAAACAAAAACACAAACAAAUAUUUAAAAAAUAUUUGAAUAUGUUCAUUUAAAUAGUUAAAUACUUUUAAAAAAAAUAUCUCUUAUAACUUAAUGAAAUAAUUAUCAAUAUGUGAAAUGAAAUACCUAUUGAAUGAAUAUAUAACCAGCGAAAAUUUAAUAAAUUACUUAUAUGAAAAUAGAAAAAUCGUGGAUGAAAACAAUAAGCAGCGUCAAUUAAAAUAUCAAGAAGAAAAUGUAAUAAAUUCUAUAAUGGCCGAUGCAAAAAAGAAAAUGACUAAAACAAGAAAACUGAAAGAAAUAGAAAUUUUGAAAGGAAAACAUUUACUAAACAUUUUAACAUUUUAGUCAUUUAACUAGAGAUAAUUUGAUUGUGGAGGUAAAAUGUCAUGAUAAAUUAUUUUGGUUAUACCUGAACAAAACUUUUAAAUAAAAAUUAUUACAAAGUUAUCUUUAAUAUUAAAAUUUGUUUUCAAUUAAGAGUAGCAUAAUGGAUAGGUCCAUUAUAAUAAAUUAAUAAUAACACAUAAAAAAAAACAAUACAACUAUUUCCUAUAGAUUUCAUUUCUUGAUCAUUGUCAAUAUUUGUCACACAAUUUAUUUG